UUUAAAAAGAUAAGUUAUAUUAGGAACAGCUAAAUAAAUGAAUAUAAUUUAGCUUAAAGAGGGGGUAUUUGAAGAAGAGUUAUAUGGAAAAUGCUGACUAACUGGAUCUUUCUCUUUGUUAAGGACAUGGGAUAAUGAACUUAAUGAAUAUAUGUGAAGGAUAUGAAUACUGGAUUCAAAAGGACUUGGGUUAGAGUCCCAUCUCCAAACACUUACCUGCAGUCUAUAACUUUGGACAGAUUCCUUAACAUAUCUGACUUUGGUUUUCUGAUGUGAAAAAUUUCAGAUAUAACAGUAAUUAUGAGGUUGUUGGGAGGAUUAAAUGAGCUCAGCUUUGCACCCUGAUGCACAGUAAACAUCCAGUAAAUGUAAGCUAUUUUUAUUGCUCAGAGUCAAGGACAUUUAAAUACUGGACUAGAUCAUCAAAGGAAUAGAUUCUUCCCUUGAGAGCAGAGAGAAUGUGAGAGGGUCUUCUCUGUCUGCAAGAAACAUUCUUCACCAGAUGAUCCAUUUAUGUAUUUUUCUAGUUCACAAUCCUAGCAGCAACGUAUAAAUAAGGAGCAGCUGUUGUAAAAAUCCUUUUUCCUCUUUCAUGUCGGUUUGCUAUCUUUGGGAAGAAAAUUUUUGCUAUUUAAACUCCACAUUGGUCACUAUGCUUGUGGGUUGAAAUAGGGGCCUUACUGCUGAUGGGGCUAAACCAAAGCUUCCAAGGGGGAGCCAGUGCCUGAGAGGUAUGCUGCUAUUGGUGCCCUGCUCUUAUUUCUCAGGCAAGCCUCCCCACUUCAGUUAGACAGGCCAAAUCUGCCCCAUCUUUUCUUCCAAGCCAAGGGUGACUACCCUGCAAUGGCAUGUGGCAAGUGGAAGGACCAAGGAAUUGACAUUCUCCAGGAGCAGUCUUCCCAAGUGACUGGUAGAGGUGGUGGGUGAAUUCUUGAGCUCAGAGCAGCGAACAUCAAAAUAGAGAUUAUGGGAGACUUGAUGUGAAUGGGAAAGGAUGAGAUUUAUGGGGGAAUUCACAAGAGGAGAGUCCAUUUAUUAUAAUUACAGACAUCUUAUUGAACACUAAGUGCCAGACACUGGGCUAAACCCUGCCAGCAUAAGAGAUGGGUGCUGUCCUGGAGAGAGUCACACUGUUCCAGGAAAGACACUCCUAGCAAUUCAUCAGUAAAUUCCAAGAUGAUUCAUGACUUAAGAAAGCUGAGAGCAAUGUGUAAUCGGAGUACUGAUGAGAGAGAAGCUUGGAAGGCUGAUGAAGAUGUACUCCAAAUUCACAAAGGAAGUAUAUCUGUAGUAAAGGAUGAAUAGGACUUUGGUGGACCCAAGUUGAGAAGAGCCUUCUAGACAGAGAAAACAACCUGCAUAAUGUUUGAAGUUACAUGGAGUGUUUGGGUGGACAGCUGGAGAAAAGUUCAUCGUGGGGUGGAGAAGAGGCAGGAGAUAAGGCUGAGAGGACGUGAAACAUCUGAUUAUAAAAAGUCUUGUCUCCUUCAACUGUAGAACAGAUGAUAGGAGGAGGAAGGUCUUGAUGCAUCAGAAAAUGCAAGUGCAAUGCCUUGUCCGUCACUUCCUUUUCUGCAUGUCUCUGGUGCAAGGAGAAAAGGGAGAGGAGAAGAGACUCAGGAGCGAGGCUGUGUAUCUUCAGGUACAUCCAUCAUUGAUGAUCACAUGCCAGACACCAUACUAGUUCUUUCCAAACCUUAUCCCAUUUCAUCCUCACGGUAAGCCAGUGAGGGAGGACUGUUCAACUGUUUUGCUCGUGAAGACAUUGAGGCUUAGAAGAGGUCUAGAAAAUUGUAAGAUUUGGAAUCAUGACUGCCUGCUUAAAAAGCCCUUAACCACUACAUUAUACUACUUCUCUUUUGGAAGAAGCAAAUGUGGAGUGGACAGCAGCUGCUGUGGUCGCCUUUCCUGGAUUGGGUGACAGCUAAGUGCACUGAGUUCUGCUUAUGGAGCCACAAAAAUCAGAAGAAACCAGAAGGAGCAGCCAUCAUGUUGGAAGUCAUUUGUUUUGGUAUUUACUUUGGUGAAGUCUCCAGAAGAUAUUUUGGAUUUGGAGUACUUGCUUUUUCAUCAGAUUCAUCCUUAGCAACUGCUAAAAGGCAUUCAACAGAGGACAAGAGAAUAAAAAAAUUACUUAAUUCACACAGUGAAUUCACAGCACUCAAGUGACUGUUGGCCUUUGGUGAACCAUUUUCUUUAAGAGCCCUCAUAUAGCACUAUCAUAAUUCUGUAACACCUCAACGCUGACCUUUUCGUUUGUAAAAGGCUUAAGUAAACAAAAUUAUAGCUUUUCUGCUACACUCCCAACAUUUUUGAACUACUUAGUUUUUUUGAACUUUAACAUUUGUCUGAAGAACCCAGUUACUUGAACGAAAAAGUUUGUCAUUGAGCUGUCAUUUAACAUUUGAGAAAGUGGGGUCUAAUUAGUGUGGCUUUUAAAUCUUUUUCUACAAACGGAAUUCUGAAAUGUAGAUAGAUAAGAAAUAUAAAGUGGAUCAGAUGUUCUCAUAAAUAAAUAAUGAAAACCAGACAUUUGAAUGGUUUGGAAAAUUUUAAUCACUGUACAUUAUCAUGCUACCCUGAAGAGGGAAGAAGUACAGAGACAAUCUAGAAAAUGUCAAAGUACCUUUUACACAUGUAACUGAAGUCUUAACUAAAAAGCUCUGUAGGGGCACCUGGGUGGCUUAGUCGGUUAAGCACUGACUCUUGAUUUCAGCUCAGGGUCAUGGGAUCGAGCCGUACAUCAGGCUCUGCACUGUCAGCCAACCUGCUUGGGAUUCUCUCCCUCUCUCUCUGUCUCUCAGUCUCUCAAAAUAAAGAAAUGAAUGAAUGAAUGAGUGAAUGAAUAAAAGAAAAGAUCCGUAAAUUGCAGAAUAAUCAAUUAUUAAUCUUCUGCUAGACUGAUAAUCUUAUUUUUAUCAGAAGUCUCACAAUAGUGCACUGUAAAAAUUUUUUUCAAAUAAAAAAUUAUUUGAAACAACCCAUUUCUGUAAUGGAUUUUAAGAGACCCACAUCAUCAGAUGCCCUAAAAACUGGCACACCACCAUUAUAAGAUCAUAGCAUAUGGGGACUUGGCAUUUUGAACAGUGAUUAUUUCAGGUAGCAAUCUUAAAAUAAGCAUUUAAGUCAUUUUUUUCAUCAACUACUAGACCCCUGUCUUUCUUUUAGAACUGGCACAAUGUUUACUCUGUAUCAGAAUCCCAGUGAUCUUUGAGAAUCAACCUGAAAAUGUUAACUUGCUGCUCCUGAUGAUGGUUGAUGGUUAUUCCUCUUUAGACUGAAGAGGGAAAAAUCUAAUGCAUUCAUCUAAAAACUUUAUUUGCUAUGGGAAUUUGCUUUGGCUAAUGCAAUGUUUAAGACCUGCUGGUUCACUCAAAGGUCAAGGAACAUUUAUGUAAGGAAUCUUCAAUAACAUUCUUUCAGCUUGGCGAGCAGAGAAUACCCUGAUGCCAGUUUUCCCCUCUUUUGAGUAUUAAAUUUGUGUACGUCUGCAUCUAAAUUCCUACCAAAGAGUGAAAUUGUUUUCAAAAUAUGCAGAUAACAUCAUGUCAAGUUAGAGCAUUUGUUUUAAUUUUAUUUCCUUUUCAGUGAUUUUCCUUGUUGGUCUAUCAAAAGCACUGCUUUGAAACAUUGAUCAUAACCAAAGCCUGCAUUGUGAAAAUAUCUUUUACCAAACAGGUCAGUUUGCAUUAAAGAUGCUUCCUAAGGGGAUGUUUACCUGCAUUUCCCAAAGUGUGUUCUACAAACCUCUAAUUCUAAACACUGGUUGUGAGGAUGGUAACAGCUGUUCAGUGAAAGUGUUCUUUCUGUGAUUAAAUAAAUUUGAGUGAUUCUG